rnacentral:rRNA from 1 species
UACAGAGGUCCCAAGCGUUGUUCGGAUUCAUUGGGCGUAAAGGGUGCGUAGGCGGCGAGGCAAGUCUGGUGUGAAAUCCCGGGGCUCAACCCCGGAACUGCACUGGAUACUGCCUUGCUAGAGUACUGGAGAGGGAACUGGAAUUUACGGUGUAGCAGUGAAAUGCGUAGAGAUCGUAAGGAAGACCAGUGGCGAAGGCGAGUUCCUGGACAGUUACUGACGCUGAGGCACGAAGGCCAGGGGAGCAAACGGG